UACGUAGGGUGCGAGCGUUAAUCGGAAUUACUGGGCGUAAAGCGUGCGUAGACGGUUAUUUAAGUCGGGUGUGAAAGCCCCGGGCUCAACCUGGGAAUUGCAUUCGAGACUGAAUAGCUAGGGUACGGUAGAGGGAAGUGGAAUUUCCGGUGUAGCGGUGAAAUGCGUAGAUAUCGGAAGGAACACCUGUGGCGAAAGCGGCUCACUGGACCACAACUGACGCUGAGGAGCGAAAGCAUGGGGAGCGAACAGG
rnacentral:rRNA from 1 species